CUGCUGCCUUCCGUAGGAGUUUGGGCCGUGUCUCAGUCCCAAUGUGGCCGUUCACCCUCUCAGGCCGGCUACUGAUCGUCGCUUUGGUAGGCCGUUACCCUGCCAACUGGCUAAUCAGACGCGGGUCCAUCUCAUACCACCGGAGUUUUUACCACUGCACCAUGCAGUGCUGUGGUCUUAUGCGGUAUUAGCAGUCAUUUCUAACUGUUAUCCCCCUGUAUGAGGCAGGUUACCCACGCGUUACUCACCCGUCCCG
rnacentral:rRNA from 1 species